rnacentral:sRNA from 1 species
UUGAGUUGUUAGGAGCAUUAGAUCUAGACAUCUAGUCUAGAUCUAGUCUAGAUAUAAAAGGUUUUCGGUAGAUCUAUUGCUUUUUGCAAUCUCAGAUAAAAAUCUAUUGCCCAUUGACAGUGAGAAACGUGUUUUAAAGCAGUGAGAUUGAUAGAUCUACAGACUUGUGGCACAUAAAAAGAUGGAGUUAUGGGGAGUUAUUUUCUCUUUGCUUGUCUGGACCGCAAUGUUUGUCGUUGAUGCUGGUGAGGAUUACUAUGCCAUGCUGGGAGUCAACAAAGAAGCUUCUGUUAAGGAAAUACAGAAAAGCUUUCAAAAAAGCUUGCUAUAUCCAAGCACCCAGAUAAGAAUACUGAUGAUCCGGAAGCUCACAAUGUUUUCAUCAAAAUCAACCGAGCCUAUGAGGUUCUGAAAGAUGAAGAUUUGAGAAAGAAAUAUGAUCAGUAUGGGGAGGAGGGUCUCAAAGAUGAUUUUCAGAGGGGAAGAAGCUAUGAAAGUUGGCAGUGGUAUCAACAAAAUU